AACGAACGCUGGCGGCAGGCCUAACACAUGCAAGUCGAACGCUGUAGCAAUACAGAGUGGCAGACGGGUGAGUAACACGUGGGAAUCUUCCUAUCGGUACGGAAUAGCUCAGGGAAACUUGGGGUGAUACCGCAUACGCCCUUCGGGGGAAAGAUUUAUCGCCGUUAGAUGAGCCCGCGUCUGAUUAGCUAGUUGGUGAGGUAAUGGCUCACCAAGGCGACGAUCAGUAGCUGGUCUGAGAGGAUUACCAGCCACACUGGGACUGAGACACGGCCCAGACUCCUACGGGAGGCAGCAGUGGGGAAUAUUGGACAAUGGGCGCAAGCCUGAUCCAGCCAUGCCGCGUGAGUGACGAAGGUCUUCGGAUUGUAAAGCUCUUUUGCCAGGGACGAUAAUGACGGUACCUGGAGAAUAAGCCCCGGCUAACUUCGUGCCAGCAGCCGCCGUAAGAC
rnacentral:rRNA from 1 species